GAGUUUGAUCUUGGCUCAGAUUGAACGCUGGCGGCAUGCCUUACACAUGCAAGUCGAACGGCAGCACGGGAGCUUGCUCCUGGUGGCGAGUGGCGAACGGGUGAGUAAUGCAUCGGAACGUAUCCUGGAGUGGGGGAUAACGUAGCGAAAGUUACGCUAAUACCGCAUAUUCUGUGAGCAGGAAAGCGGGGGACCUUCGGGCCUCGCGCUCUUGGAGCGGCCGAUGUCGGAUUAGCUAGUUGGUGAGGUAAAGGCUCACCAAGGCGACGGAUCCGUAGCAGGUCUGAGAGGAUGAUCUGCCACACUGGAACUGAGACACGGUCCAGACUCCUACGGGAGGCAGCAGUGGGGAAUUUUGGACAAUGGGGGCAACCCUGAUCCAGCCAUGCCGCGUGAGUGAAGAAGGCCUCGGUUGUAAGUAC
rnacentral:rRNA from 1 species